GAUGAACGCUAGCUACAGGCUUAACACAUGCAAGUCGAGGGACCGGCGCAGGGGUGAGUAACACGUAUCAAACCUGCCCUUUACUCGGGGAUAGCCUUUCGAAAGAAAGAUUAAUACCCGAUAUAAAGGAUGGGGAUGCGUUGCAUUAGGUUGUGGGGGAGGUAACGGCCCACCAAGCCUUCGAUGGAUAGGGGGUCGGAGAGGAAGGUCCCCCACAUUGGAACUGAGACCCGGUCCAAACUCCUACGGGAGGCAGCAGUGAGGCAUAUUGGUCAAUGGGCGUUAGCCUGAACCAGCCAAGUAGUGGGAAGGAUUAUGGCUUAUGGUUCGUAAUCUUCUGUGAUAUAAGAAUCGGUAUUAUAUCAAUAAGGAUCGGCUAACUACGUGCCAGCAGCCGCGGUAAUAC
rnacentral:rRNA from 1 species